rnacentral:rRNA from 1 species
GGACGAACGCUGGCGGCGUGCUUAACCCAUGCAAGUCGAACGGAAAGGCCCUGCUUUUGUGGGGUGCUCGAGUGGCGAACGGGUGAGUAACACGUGAGUAACCUGCCCUUGACUUUGGGAUAACUUCAGGAAACUGGGGCUAAUACCGGAUAGGAGCUCCUGCUGCAUGGUGGGGGUUGGAAAGUUUCGGCGGUUGGGGAUGGACUCGCGGCUUAUCAGCUUGUUGGUGGGGUAGUGGCUUACCAAGGCUUUGACGGGUAGCCGGCCUGAGAGGGUGACCGGCCACAUUGGGACUGAGAUACGGCCCAGACUCCUACGGGAGGCAGCAGUGGGGAAUAUUGCACAAUGGGCGGAAGCCUGAUGCAGCAACGCCGCGUGCGGGAUGACGGCCUUCGGGUUGUAAACCGCUUUCGCCUGUGACGAAGCGUGAGUGACGGUAAUGGGUAAAGAAGCACCGGCUAACUACGU